CUUUUUUAUUAUGAAUGGGGUGGUGGGUAUGGGGCAGGACAGGAGGGACACACUGAAGUUCAAAAGCGAGAUGUACAAAUGUACUGCUUUGGAGUUUACGAAGCUGAAGGCAAUAAUGAAGCUCAAGAGGAGGAGAAGGUAGGAUGCAGUGACAAAAAUGUAGGUGUGAAUGUCUGGUAGUUUAUUCCAAGACAAUGGCAGUAGAUGUUAUGAGUUGGCUGUCUCAUUGCAACAUCCUAUCACCACGUUGCCAAAAACUGGGGAAUGACAAACGAAGAUGGGGCCAUGAUUAACUAAAACACAACAAUUACUACAAUGAGAAAACGUCUCUUUGCAAUGAAAGCAGUGGAUGGGGGGUCCCCUGUAAGCAGGGAAGCUGACUCUUUGGCUGCUGCUCUUUCUGUUGCCAGCUAGUGUGAUCAGUCUGCCUGCCUCUGUGAUCCCCCGCAGCACUGGCUGGAAGUCCGCCGCGUGUCAGUGAGGUGAGAAACGCUGCUCGAAGUGGUUUUUGUGGGGACGACUUGGGGGGGGGGGGGGGGUGGGAUGCAAGGCCUUCCAUGGCUGGGUGGUGCGUGCCG
ensembl:lncRNA